AAAAUUCAAAGAGAAUUAUACCUAAUUUUCUAAACGACGCCGCAUACAGACUUAUGGUUUGAAACCCUUCAUGUUCCUUCAAAGACUUCGAACUCCCUUCGUCUGUGUAUUCUCCUUCGAUCUUUCCUCCGUUCACCUCCGUUCUCAUCGUCGCUCUCUACUUCGAUCACCAACACUCUGCUACAACUAUACCUCAAUAUUCUCUUCUUCACCGAUUCCUUCUCCUAUUCCUCAAAUCUAAACAAAUCUAGAAAAGAAAACCUAGAAAACUCAAGGAAAAAUCAAACGAUGAUAGAAGCGAAUCUGGAAACGAGACCAUAG